rnacentral:rRNA from 1 species
CCUACGGGUGGCAGCAGUGAGGAAUAUUGGUCAAUGGGCGAGAGCCUGAACCAGCCAAGUCGCGUGAGGGAGUACUGCCCUAUGGGUUGUAAACCUCUUUUGUCGGGGAGCAAAAGCCGGACGUGUCCGGCUGUGAGAGUACCCGAAGAAAAAGCAUCGGCUAACUCCGUUCCAGCAGCCGCGGUAAUACGGAGGAUGCGAGCGUUAUCCGGAUUUAUUGGGUUUAAAGGGUGCGCAGGCGGAUUUUUAAGUCAGCGGUAAAAUCGUGGGGCUCAACCCCAUCCAGCCGUUGAAACUGGGGAUCUAGAGUGUGCGAGAGGUAUGCGGAAUGCGUGGUGUAGCGGUGAAAUGCAUAGAUAUCACGCAGAACCCCGAUUGCGAAGGCAGCAUACCGGUGCACAACUGACGCUCAGGCACGAAAGCGUGGGUAUCGAACAGGAUUAGAUACCCCAGUAGUC